CAGAUUAUACUUAAAGUUAAGAGUUUCAUUUACACUGAAGUUGUUGUCGUGCAAUUCGAUGUAAUCUGA
rnacentral:tRNA from 1 species